CUCAGUCAGUGGUGAACUCAGUGUUUGCCUUCCAAGGACCACCUAAUUUUUGAGAGAUUCAACACAAGCUUGAUCGCAGAGAGAAAAGAAGACUCCAAAGUUCUAUAUUCAUAGCUUGACCACUUUCCUACUUAAUAUCACUUCUACAAUGAAGAUUCCCUAAUGAGAGUCAUCUUAUUCAUCACAGCAAAACAGACAUCAGAGAAAGAAUACAUCGGAAAAUAUACAUACCAGAUGAUACAGAGUGAAGGAGCUCUCCCAUUGGGAAUCAG